UACGAGGGGGGCGAGCGUUGUUCGGGAUUAUUGGGCGUAAAGGGUGCGUAGGCGGCCUGACAAGUCUGAUGUGAAAUCCCUGGGCUCAACCCAGGGCCUGCAUCGGAAACUGUCGGGCUUGAGUAUGGGAGAGGUGAGUGGAAUUUCCGGUGUAGCGGUGAAAUGCGUAGAUAUCGGAAGGAACACCGGUGGCGAAGGCGGGUCUCUGGGCCGUAACUGACGCUGAGGAGCGAAAGCGUGGGGAGCGAACAGG
rnacentral:rRNA from 1 species